ensembl:rRNA 5S_rRNA 5S ribosomal RNA
GCUUACGGCCAUACCACCCUGAGCACGCCCGAUCUUGUCUGAUCUCGGAAGCUAAGCAAGGUUGGGCUUGGUUAGUAUUUGGAUGGGAGCCUGCCUGGGAAUACCAGGUGCUGUAAGCU